GAACUUAAGCAUAUCAAUAAGCAGAGGAAAAGAAACUAACAAGGAUUCCCCUAGUAACUGCGAGUGAAGCGGGAAAAGCUCAAAUUUAAAAUCUGGUGGUCCCGAGUUGGCUGCCCGGGUUGUAAUCUAGAGAAGUGCUUUCCGCGCUGGACCGUGUACAAGUCUCUUGGAACGGAGCGUCGUAGAGGGUGACAAUCCCGUCUUUGACACGGACUGCCAGGGCUUAUGUGAUGCGCUCUCGAAGAGUCGAGUUGUUUGGGAAUGCAGCUCAAAAUGGGUGGUAAAUUCCAUCUAAAGCUAAAUAUGGGCGAGAGACCGAUAGCGAACAAGUACCGUGAGGGAAAGAUGAAAAGAACUUUGAAAAGAGAGUUAAACAGUACGUGAAAUUGUUGAAAGGGAAACGAUUCAAGUCAGUCGCGUUGGCCGGUAAUCAACCCUUGCGAAGGCGGGGGCUUACUUUCCGUCUGACGGGUCAGCAUCAAUUUUGACCGUCAGAUAAAGGUUUGGGGAACGUGGCAUCUUCGGAUGUGUUAUAGCCCCUUGUCAGAUGUGACGGUUGGGAUUGAGGAACUUGGCACGCCCGCAAAGGGUCGGGGCUUUUUGCCCACGUAACGUGCUUUGGAUGCUGGCAUAAUGGCUUGAACCGACCCGUCUUGAAACACGGACCAAGGAGUCUAACAUGCCUGCGAGUGUUUGGGUGGCAAACUCGAGCGCGAAGUGAAAGUGAAACUUGUCGAGAUCUCUGUCGUGGGGAGCACCGACGCCCGGACCUGACCUUUUGUGAAGGAUCCGCGGUUGAGCAUGCAUGUUGGGACCCGAAA
rnacentral:rRNA from 1 species